rnacentral:rRNA from 1 species
GCCAGCAGCCGCGGUAAUACGUAGGUGGCAAGCGUUGUCCGGAAUUAUUGGGCGUAAAGCGCGCGCAGGCGGUCUUUUAAGUCUGAUGUGAAAGCCCCCGGCUCAACCGGGGAGGGUCAUUGGAAACUGGGAGACUUGAGUGCAGAAGAGGAGAGUGGAAUUCCACGUGUAGCGGUGAAAUGCGUAGAGAUGUGGAGGAACACCAGUGGCGAAGGCGACUCUCUGGUCUGUAACUGACGCUGAGGCGCGAAAGCGUGGGGAGCGAACAGGAUUAGAUACCCUGGUAGUCCACGCCGUAAACGAUGAGUGCUAAGUGUUAGAGGGUUUCCGCCCUUUAGUGCUGCAGCAAACGCAUUAAGCACUCCGCCUGGGGAGUACGGCCGCAAGGCUGAAACUCAAAAGAAUUGACGGGGACCCGCACAAGCGGUGGAGCAUGUGGUUUAAUUCGAAGCAACGCGAAGAACCUUACCAGGUCUUGACAUCCCACUGCCCGUUAUGGAGACAUAACUUUCCCUUCGGGGACAGUGGUGACAGGUGGUGCAUGGUUGUCGUCAGCUCGUGUCGUGAGAUGUUGGGUUAAGUCCCGUAACGAGCGCAACCCUUAAUCUUAGUUGCCAGCAUUCAGUUGGGCACUCUAAGGUGACUGCCGGUGACAAAUCGGAGGAAGGUGGGGAUGACGUCAAAUCAUCAUGCCCCUUAUGACCUGGCUACACACGUGCUACAAUGGGAUGGGAACAAGGGAGCGAAGCCGCGAGGUGUAGCAAAUCCCAUAAAACCAUUCUCAGUUCGGAUUGCAGGCUGCAACUCCGCCCUGCAU